rnacentral:rRNA from 1 species
ACGAACGCUGGCGGCGUGCUUCACACAUGCAAGUCGAACGGGCCCGCUCUCUUUUUUGGGGGUGGGUUGAGUGGCGAACGGGUGAGUAUCACGUGAGUAACCUGCCCCCUGCUCCUGGAUAACUGCUUGAAAGGGCGGCUAAUACGGGGUGUGCCGGCUGGUCCGCAUGGGCCUGGUCGGGAUAGUUUCAUCUUCGGGUGUUUCGGUGGGGGAUGGGCUCGCGGCCUAUCAGCUUGUUGGUGGGGUGAUGGCCCACCAAGGCGGUGACGGGUAGCCGGCCUGAGAGGGUGGGCGGCCACACUGGGACUGAGACACGGCCCAGACUCCUGCGGGAGGCAGCAGUGGGGGGUAUUGCACAAUGGGCGGAAGCCUGAUGCAGCGACGUCGCGUGAGGGAUGGAGGCCUUCGGGUUGUGAACCUCUUUCUCCGGUGGUGAAGGCCCUGUCCGUUGCGGCGGGGUUGACGGUAGCCGGGUAUGAAGCGCCGGCUAACUACGUG